UACAGAGGGUGCUAGCGUUGUUCGGAAUCAUUGGGCGUAAAGGGCGUGUAGGCGGUUUGUUAAGUCAUGUGUGAAAGCCCCCGGCUCAACUGGGGAACGACGCAUGAAACUGGCAAGCUAGAGUACCGAAGAGGGGGGGUGGAAUUCCCGGUGCAGCGGUGAAAUGCGUAGAUAUCGGGAGGAACACCUGUGGCGAAAGGCGGCCCCCUGGUCGGAUACUGACGCUGAGACGCGAAAGCGUGGGAGCAACAGG
rnacentral:rRNA from 1 species